CUAACAACGUUGCUAGCUAGCUGGCUGCAAGGAGUUCCCCCUAAGUCAGUGGAUGAAGUGAAGUCGGAAACACACGGAGGAAUUUCACCGUGAGACUGUUUCACAUGACUGGAUAAAUAAAGGAGUCAGUUUUCCUUGCAUGGGGGAGAAGGGCAGGACUUGACAGUGAACAACAAAUUAAAAGAAUGUGGGCCCUUAGGAGUGUCGCUUCCAGCCACACGGCAAACUACCCGGUCCCCGACAAACAACAAGUGAACCAAAGUCUCCCCCCCGUCCCAAAGCACUAGACACUUAGCUUCAACACUGGGCCAAGCGCUCCACUGCAGGAUGUGAUCUAUUUUGAGGAGGUGAUGGGUCCUGAUGCCUAACCAGAUGAGAACCACUGCUCUAAACAAUCAACACUACAGGAGAUGAGCAAAGUGACAAGUUCUGAAGCUUUUGCAGCUGGGCUGCCCUGCCUCACUUGGAUGCAUCAACAAAGCUUGAAGUGGCCACUCUAAUCUGGCCUUGCCAGUUUGUACCAUCAAACCUCUGCCCAAUGCAUGCUGGGAAGAGUCAGCGUCAGCAUGGAGGAAUCAG